rnacentral:lncRNA from 1 species
AUGUGAAAUGAAGUGAGAGGUGUAGGUUUAUAACUAUGGUACGUAACAAAUUUAGAAAAAUAUUUUCAUAUUUUUAUCAUAGCCUCCUUAUGUGACGUGGAGAUGUGUCACCAGAUUUUAAGAUUUUCAGACUUUAUUUGUAAUUUAUAUAAUUAAAUUACAUUUCUCCCACAACUUUGUCGCCAUGUUUCGUGUAUAAGAUGUUCGAAAUUUUGGAUGUGCUCGUGAAACUGGCGUCAAAAUAUAACAACUAUCAUGAAUAUUAUUUUUCCGAUCAUUGAAUUCAAUGAUUCGAUGCACCUAUAGUUCAAUAUUAUAUUUUCAGAAAAAAUACGUUUAAGUGAAUAAAUUAAAGAAAUAUAUCAAGAAUUAUGCCAAAUUUUAACAUAUAUUUUAAAAUAAAGUGCAAGUCAGUAAAAAAAAGUUUGGAGGCAAAUAAAAAUAAUAAAAAAAUAUUUGCCGAGUGCCACCC